CAUCAACGCCUUCAUGGCCAGCAGACCGAGAGCGCCGAAUCCUAGCGCGGCCAUCAUCUUGCCUGAAAAUCGCAGAAAUAAACCAGGUUAGCUUGGAGUUUGGGAGUCUUUUAGGAAGAGAAAGAGGGGUUGUCGAUUGGGACAAUUCGUAAGAGGAUUUUGAUUUAAGAUGGAAAGAUAAUGAAUUUUCUUUUUCCAGAUUCGUUUGGAGGGAAGGAAGAUCGGGACGAUCUCGUGACUCGUGGGCCGGCGCAGGAUAUAUCGGAAUCGAGGUGAAAAAUAUUCUAGAAAGCAACUAACUACUAGGGGCCCUCGUUAUAUUACGCUCGUAAAGAAAGUAAAUAUCGCGUGCCGUAACAAGAAACAAUUAUGGGAGGAGGAGCAGGAGGAGGAGGAGGAGGGUUUGCGUGGCAGACGAAGUGUGCCAAGUUCGGAGCCUCCUUCCUUCCGCAGGAUUGCUGCGCAACUUCGCGCGGCCCAAGAUUUCUUUUGCCUGGUUUCGAGCGUUUAAAUCGUAAGAAAAAGAAGAAGAAGAAGAAGAAGAAGAAGAAAGAAAUAACACGCGCGAUCUCUUUUCCCUAAUCGUUGGGAAAACUCGGUGUCUUAACCCGGAUAAAAAUAAAAGAAUUAUCCCUCCAACUCGUUCCACCCAUAGAUGGAAAUAGGAAGUACAUUGAGAGACAGACGAGAGGAUUCGAGCACGGGAAACGAUCGAUCAACUGGAGGUGGUGGUGGGAUAAAGAAAAUCAAAUAUUUGAGCAGCGCGGUGAAAAAGAGUUGAUGAUGAGCGUGGUAAAUAGUAAAUAAACGGAUUUUCUUGGAUGUUCGGACAGUGAUGAAUUCGGUAGAAAGUUGGAAUGCCAAGUUCAAGCUGGUGCCGUUGUUUGCGUUUCGAAUGAACAGCGCGACUUCGAGGGAACAGUUCGCGGUUGAAGUUAGGAAAGAAAUCAAGGGGAUCGCCGAGAUGUCGCCGAGAGAUCCGAGUAAAACUAGGCGUGAAGAAAAACGUAUAUCCGAUAUCCGCUUUUCAUUCUUGAAUCGGGUAAACUGUUGCUACUUUCCCGGACGGGGGAGAAAAAGGUUGGACGCGUUCAAUCGAAUUACGAGAUCUCUCGUAAUUCUCAAUGAUUUUCUUGGAUCUAUAUUUUUGUUUUAUUUGUUCGAGUUUGUUCUCGGUUGGAAGGGUAGAAAAUUUUCGGCCGGUUAUUAAAAUCUUAUCCGACUUUCGACUCGUUAAACGACGCCGUCCCCUCGAAACUUUCAAAUAUUCAAAUUUCCAAAGAUAAUCGGUCAACCGCUCGAUAAAUCACCCAGUGAAAUCUAAUUCCUCCCGAUCGGUGAAAUUAAAAUUCGAUACCGAAACUAAUCCGCAUGACCUGAAAACGUACACCGAGAUCGCCGAUCGUAGAUUUCCGCGUUACAAUUUCCAUUUCGAGUCGUGAACGUCGAUCGAAUUUUUUUCUCUGCUCGAAUCGCAUCGAUUCUUUUCACUCGCGUUGAAGAACUCGUGGAUGCGAGCUUGGUAGAGGCAAAAUGGAAUGUUGAAGAAAAAAAUAAAUAAAUAAAAGGGACGAGAAGUGUGCCAGCCGCGGAUUCGUA